AUUGAACGCUGGCGGCAGGCUUAACACAUGCAAGUCGAGCGGAGAUGAGGUGCUUGCACCUUAUCUUAGCGGCGGACGGGUGAGUAAUGCUUAGGAAUCUGCCUAUUAGUGGGGGACAACAUUCCGAAAGGAAUGCUAAUACCGCAUACGUCCUACGGGAGAAAGCAGGGGAUCUUCGGACCUUGCGCUAAUAGAUGAGCCUAAGUCGGAUUAGCUAGUUGGUGGGGUAAAGGCCUACCAAGGCGACGAUCUGUAGCGGGUCUGAGAGGAUGAUCCGCCACACUGGGACUGCGACACGGCCCAGACUCCUACGGGAGGCAGAAGUGGGGAAUAUUGGACAAUGGGGGGAACCCUGAUCCAGCCAUGCCGCGUGUGUGAAGAAGGCCUUAUGGUUGUAAAGCACUUUAAGCGAGGAGGAGGCUACUGAGACUAAUACUCUUGGAUAGUGGACGUUACUCGCAGAAUAAGCACCGGCUAACUCUGUGCCAGCCGCCGCGGUAA
rnacentral:rRNA from 1 species